GAGUUUGAUUCUGGCUCAGGAUGAACGCUGGCGGCGUGCUUAACACAUGCAAGUCGAACGAACGAAUCUUAUCGGAGUUUUUCGGAACAAAGAAAAGAUAAGUUAGUGGCGGACGGGUGCGUAACGUGUGGGUAAUCUGCCUUUGUCAUGGGAAUAACUGCUUGAAAGAGCAGCUAAUACCGAAUAACAUAUGCAAUAGGCAUCUAUUGGAUAUCAAAGAGAAAUCGGACAAAGAUGAGCCCGCAUCUGAUUAGCUAGUUGGUAGGGUAACAGCCUACCAAGGCAACGAUCAGUAGCCGACCUGAGAGGGUGAACGACCACAUUGGAACUGAGACACGGUCCAAACUCCUACGGGAGGCAGCAGUGGGGAAUAUUGCACAAUGGGGGGAACCCUGAUGCAGCAACGCCGCGUGAGUGAAGAAGGCUUUCGAGUCGUAAAACUCUGUUGUAAGGGAAGAUAAUGACA
rnacentral:rRNA from 1 species